rnacentral:rRNA from 1 species
UAAUACGGAGGGUGCAAGCGUUGUCCGGAUUUAUUGGGUUUAAAGGGUGCGUAGGCGGAUUGGUAAGUCAGUGGUGAAAGUUUGCAGCUCAACUGUAAAAUUGCCAUUGAUACUGUCAGUCUUGAGUGCAGUCGAGGUGGUUGGAAUGCGUAGUGUAGCGGUGAAAUGCUUAGAUAUUACGCAGAACACCAAUAGCGAAGGCAGAUCGCCAGGCUGUAACUGACGCUGAGGCACGAAAGUGUGGGGAUCGAACAGGAUUAGAUACCCUGGUAGUCCACACUGUAAACGAUGGUUACUAGUUGUUCGCCUGUAGAGGUGAGUGACUAAGCGAAAGCGAUAAGUAACCCACCUGGGGAGUACGUUCGCAAGGAUG